rnacentral:rRNA from 1 species
CCUACGGGUGGCAGCAGUCGAGAAUCAUUCACAAUGGGGGAAACCCUGAUGGUGCGACGCCGCGUGGGGGAAUGAAGGUCUUCGGAUUGUAAACCCCUGUCAUGUGGGAGCAAAUUAAAAAGAUAGUACCACAAGAGGAAGAGACGGCUAACUCUGUGCCAGCAGCCGCGGUAAUACAGAGGUCUCAAGCGUUGUUCGGAAUCACUGGGCGUAAAGCGUGCGUAGGCUGUUUCGUAGGUCGUGUGUGAAAGGCGCGGGCUCAACCCGCGGACGGAACAUGUGACUGCGAGACUAGAGUAAGGGAGGGGGAACCGGAAUUCUCGGUGUAGCAGUGAAAUGCGUAGAUAUCGAGAGGAACACUCGUGGCGAAGGCGGGUUCCUGGACAGUAACUGACGCUGAGGCACGAAGGCCAGGGGAGCGAAAGGGAUUAGAUACCCCAGUAGUC